rnacentral:rRNA from 1 species
AAUGGGCGAAAGCCUGAUGCAGCAACGCCGCGUGAGCGAUGAAGGCCUUCGGGUCGUAAAGCUCUGUCCUCAAGGAAGAUAAUGACGGUACUUGAGGAGGAAGCCCCGGCUAACUACGUGCCAGCAGCCGCGGUAAUACGUAGUGGGCUAGCGUUAUCCGGAAUUACUGGGCGUAAAGCGCGCGUAGGCGGCCAUGCAAGUGAGGCGUGAAAGGCCUGGGCUCAACCUGGGAACUGCGCUUCAGACUGCACGGCUCGAGUCCGGGAGAGGGUGGUGGAAUUCCCAGUGUAGAGGUGAAAUUCGUAGAUAUUGGGAGGAACACCAGUGGCGAAGGCGGCCACCUGGCCCGGUACUGACGCUCAAGUGCGAAAGCGUGGGGAGCAAA